GACGAACGCUGGCGGCGUGCUUAACACAUGCAAGUCGAACGGAAAGGCCCUGCUUUUGUGGGGUGCUCGAGUGGCGAACGGGUGAGUAACACGUGAGUAACCUGCCCUUGACUUUGGGAUAACUUCAGGAAACUGGGGCUAAUACCGGAUAGGAGCUCCUGCUGCAUGGUGGGGGUUGGAAAGUUUCGGCGGUUGGGGAUGGACUCGCGGGUUAUCAGCUUGUUGGUGGGGUGGUGGCUUACCAAGGCUUUGACGGGUAGCCGGCCUGAGAGGGGGCCCGGCCACAUUGGGACUGAGAUACGGCCCAGAGUCCUACGGGAGGCAGCAGUGGGGAAUAUUGCACAAUGGGCGGAAGCCUGAGGCGGCAACGCCGCGUGCGGGAUGACGGCCUUCGGGUUGUAAACCGCUUUCGCCUGUGACGAAGCGUGAGUGACGGUAAUGGGUAAAGAAGCACCGGCUAACUACGUGCCAGCCGCCGCCGUAA
rnacentral:rRNA from 1 species